rnacentral:rRNA from 1 species
AUUGAACGCUGGCGGCAGGCCUAACACAUGCAAGUCGAACGAGUGGCGGACGGGUGAGUAAUGUCUGGGAAACUGCCCGCUGGAGGGGGCUAACUACUGGAAACGGUAGCUAAUACCGCAUACCAUCGGAUGUGCCCAUAUGGGAUUAGCUAGUAGGUGGGGUAACGGCUCACCUAGGCGACGAUCCCUAGCUGGUCGGAGAGGAGGACCAGCCAAACUGGAACGGAGACACGGUCCAGAUGCCUACGGGAGGCAGCAUUGGGGAAUAGGGCACAAUGGGCGCAAGCCGGAUGCAGCCAUGCCGCGUGGAUGAAGAAGGCCUGCGGGUUGUAAGGUACGUUCAUCGGGGAGGCGUUACCGGCAGAAGAAGCACCGGCUAACUCCGUGCCAGCCGCCGCGGUAAUAC